AUUGAACGCUGGCGGCAUGCUUUACACAUGCAAGUCGAACGGUAACAGGGAGCUUGCUCCGCUGACGAGUGGCGAACGGGUGGGUAAUGCAUCGGAACGUGCCGUGUAGUGGAGAUAACGUAGCGAAAGUUACGCUAAUACCGCAUACGAUCUAAGGAUGAAANCGGGGGACUCGCAAGAGCCUCGCGCGAUUGGAGCGGCCGAUAUCAGAUUAGGUAGUUGGUGAGGUAAAGGCUCACCAAGCCGACGAUCUGUAGCUGGUCUGAGAGGACGACCAGCCACACUGGGACUGAGACACGGCCCAGACUCCUACGGGAGGCAGCAGUGGGGAAUUUUGGACAAUGGGCGCAAGCCUGAUCCAGCAAUGCCGCGUGCAGGAUGAAGGCCUUCGGGUUGUAAACUGCUUUUGUACGGAACGAAACGGUGCUCACUAAUACUGGGUGCUAAUGACGGUACCGUAAGAAUAAGCACCGGCUAACUACGUG
rnacentral:rRNA from 1 species